rnacentral:rRNA from 1 species
AUUGAACGCUGGCGGCAUGCCUUACACAUGCAAGUCGAACGGUAACAGGUUAAGCUGACGAGUGGCGAACGGGUGAGUAAUGUAUCGGAACGUGCCCAGUUGUGGGGGAUAACUGCUCGAAAGAGCAGCUAAUACCGCAUACGACCUGAGGGUGAAAGCGGGGGAUCGCAAGACCUCGCGCAAUUGGAGCGGCCGAUAUCAGAUUAGGUAGUUGGUGGGGUAAAGGCCCACCAAGCCGACGAUCUGUAGCUGGUCUGAGAGGACGACCAGCCACACUGGGACUGAGACACGGCCCAGACUCCUACGGGAGGCAGCAGUGGGGAAUUUUGGACAAUGGACGCAAGUCUGAUCCAGCCAUGCCGCGUGCGGGAAGAAGGCCUUCGGGUUGUAAACCGCUUUUGUCAGGGAAGAAACGCUCUGGGUUAAUACCUCGGGGUAAUGACGGUACCUGAAGAAUAAGCACCGGCUAACUACGUGCCAGCAGCCGCCGUAA